rnacentral:rRNA from 1 species
GACGAACGCUGGCGGCGUGCUUAACACAUGCAAGUCGAACGGAAAGGCCCUGCUUUUGUGGGGUGCUCGAGGGGCGAACGGGUGAGUAACACGUGAGUAACCUGCCCUUGACUUUGGGAUAACUUCAGGAAACUGGGGCUAAUACCGGAUAGGAGCUCCUGCUGCAUGGUGGGGGUUGGAAAGUUUCGGCGGUUGGGGAUGGACUCGCGGCUUAUCAGCUUGUUGGUGGGGUAGUGGCUUACCAAGGCUUUGACGGGUAGCCGGCCUGAGAGGGUGACCGGCCACAUUGGGACUGAGAUACGGACCAGACUCCUACGGGAGGCAGCAGUGGGGAAUAUUGCACAAUGGGCGGAAGCCUGAUGCAGCAACGCCGCGUGCGGGAUGACGGCCUUCGGGUUGUAAACCGCUUUCGCCUGUGACGAAGCGUGAGUGACGGUAAUGGGUAAAGAAGCACCGGCUAACUACGUG